GAUGCCCUGGCAGUCAGAGGCGAUGAAGGGCGUGCUAAUCUGCGAUAAGCGCCGGUAAGGUGAUAUGAACCGUUAUAACCGGCGAUACCCGAAUGGGGAAACCCAGUGUGAUUCGUCACACUAUCAUUAACUGAAUCCAUAGGUUAAUGAGGCGAACCGGGGGAACUGAAACAUCUAAGUACCCCGAGGAAAAGAAAUCAACCGAGAUUCCCCCAGUAGCGGCGAGCGAACGGGGAGGAGCCCAGAGCCUGAAUCAGCAUGUGUGUUAGUGGAAGCGUCUGGAAAGGCGCGCGAUACAGGGUGACAGCCCCGUACACAAAAGCGCAUGUGCUGUGAGCUCGAUGAGUAGGGCGGGACACGUGGUAUCCUGUCUGAAUAUGGGGGGACCAUCCUCCAAGGCUAAAUACUCCUGACUGACCGAUAGUGAACCAGUACCGUGAGGGAAAGGCGAAAAGAACCCCGGCGAGGGGAGUGAAAAAGAACCUGAAACCGUGUACGUACAAGCAGUGGGAGCACCCUUUGGGUGUGACUGCGUACCUUUUGUAUAAUGGGUCAGCGACUUAUAUUCUGUAGCAAGGUUAACCGAAUAGGGGAGC
rnacentral:rRNA from 1 species